UCAUCCAGUUUGGCUCUGCUCACAAAUGCGUAAAUGCAUAUCGGGUUCUUACACAGAUUCCAUUCCCUGGGACUUUGCAUGCAUUUUUUUGUCGGCUGAGAGGACUCAAUCAGCAUUCCUUCUUGGAGGUACAGGACGCUGGAUCGAACCGUUUGGGUGACUGAAGGGACCAGGUCACACAAAAAUACAAGGAUGAGAGAGAACUGUUGCCUCCCAGUUAUUAAGUGUCCUCUCCCAAACCUCAAGCCCAUCACGGCUACAGCCGCCUCUCUGGCUUGAGAAACAGGCCUGGGGGCUUUGCGCCAGCCACAAUGGUGAUGGAAUCUUCUUCAGAGGUCGCACCCAGAGGAAGAGCCCCAGAUCCAGCACGGCUGAGGCGUUCAGUCUUCUUUUGUCUCCUGUGAAUGGUGACGUACAGUUUGGGAUGAGGCUGGAGAGAGGACUCAGCGGUUAAGAGAACUGGCUGCCGUUCUGGAGGACCCAGGUUCGAAUCCUAGCUCCCGUGUGGAAGCACACGAACGUCCAUAACUUCAGUUCCAGGGUAUCCUAUGCCCUCUUCUGGCCUUCUCAGGCACUGCAUGCAUGUGGUACACAAGCACACAUACAGGCAAGACAUUCUCACACACAGAAUGAUAAUUAAAAAGAUUAGAAUCCCCACGAGCAAACUUGCCACCUCACUGUUGUCUGUGGCAAGUGGGAUGCGUGUGUGCAAAGGCAUGUAGUACCAAAGCCCAUGUGGCCGUUGCCCUGUGUGCAUACCUGUAAUGAAGUUUGAUUUCUAAAUUAGAUACUUUCAGAGAUUAAAAGUUUUCGGGGCUGGGGAUUUAGCUCAGUGGUAGAGCGCUUACCUAGGAAGCACAAGGCCCUGGGUUCGGUCCCCAGCUCCGAAAAAAAAAAGAACCAAAAAAAAAAGUUUUCUAAUAAAUUAUAACAAUAUACUGUAGUGAAAGUUAAUAGAUUUGUUCUCUGUGCCACAACAGUCAAGGCAAAUCCUGGUACUUUGGGACCACAGUUGGCCAAGGGUUACUGAAACCGUGGAAGGAAAGGGUGGGCAGGAGGAGGCUUCCCAGGGGAAACUGGAUUCAAGAGCUGGAGUUACCCCAGGCACUGUACAGUGACAGACAAGAGCUGAACUUCUGUCUUGUGUCCCGAUGUGGAGUAUUUUCCUAGACCUCUUUUGUGAAUUAUCGUGUUUUGAACUUUCUACACAAAGCAAGAAUUUAUCUUUUUUUCUCCCUCCUGUGUCUGCCUUGUUGAAAUGGGAAUUGAACAAUACUGAGCGUUUAGAGUCUUUUUUUUUUUUUUUUUUUUUAGUUCUUCAGAUAAUUCUGGCUUUGUGUCCUUUUUCCCAUCAGGGAAAGGGGGGCUUAAGAAUGAGAAACGUGGCAUCUACAGAUAAAGAGAAGCUGUCUCUCUCUCCUGGGUCUCUGACUGACAGGCUUGGAGUCAAACCAGCAGGCCCUGAGAGGGAGGCAGAAUGGUGAGGUGAGUGUGUGGAGCAUACUUUACUGAUUUGCUGAAACCCCCACCUAUCUGUGGCUUCCGGCUGAGCAGUGGGCCUUGGCCUGGGUGUGGCCAUUGCUAGUACUCAUGGGCAUCUGGCCAUUUGGCCAUUUUGCCCUUCUAGGCACACGGCCCACUUCUCUGCCCUCUGCAGUUGAGCCAGGAAGGUGGAUCUCUGUGAGUUGUAGGGCCACCCUGGUCUAAAUAGUGAGUUUCAAGGUAGCCAGGGAUAUAUAGAGAGAGACCCUUCAUCAAAAUUAAAAAAAAAAAAACUAAGGGGUUGGGGAUUUAGCUCAGUGGUAGAGCGCUUGCCUAGGAAGCGCAAGGCCCUGGGUUCGGUCCCCAGCUCCGAAAAAAAGAACCAAAAAAAAAAAAAAACUAAAUCAAAAUUAUUAUUAUUAUUAUUAUUAUUAUUAUUAUUAUUAUUAUUAUUAUUAACAACCAUAAUAAAGCAAACUAGGACAUCUUGUCUUCCAGCCCUGAGCCUCAUCCACUUGAUCAGUCCUAUUGAUGAGACUCAUUCUGUUGAGUGUUCUUACUGUAUUUACUGAGCUUUCCCUUUCAAAACUUCAUACUGGGAAUGGACAGAUAGAUGACUCAGCAUUUAAGAGCCCAUGCUACCUUCAUGGAGAAUCAAGGUUCGAUUCUCACCACCCAUAUUUGGUGUCUGAUAACUGUCUGUGACGGCAGUUUCAGAGAAUUGGACACCUCUGACUUCUGUGGGCACAGGCACUCACAUGCUCGCACAUCGUUCCUGUCCUCUUGGAUUUUGUCAAGCCCUCUCACACGAACGGUCACGUUGAAUUCUUUGGGAUUUCUCCUAAAUCGCUCUCAUUGGAGUGUAUUGCUGCGAAACCCCUCAUAUUUGGAGAAGCCACACCUGUAUUGCUUUUUCACAUCCCCGUGUUUCCGGGUUGGCUCUUGCCCAUACGGAAUUACGUUAACCGGAAUUUUAAAAUCACCUAUAGUCUUUCAAGAGAAAUAUAUGCAAUAUUCU